GACGAACGCUGGCGGCGUGCUUAACACAUGCAAGUCGAACGCUGAAGCUCAGCUUGCUGGGUGGAUGAGUGGCGAACGGGUGAGUAACACGUGAGUAACCUGCCCUCUUCUUUGGGAUAACGCCCGGAAACGGGUGCUAAUACUGGAUAUUCACUGAUUCUCGCAUGGGGGUUGGUGGAAAGGUUUUUUCUGGUGGGGGAUGGGCUCGCGGCCUAUCAGCUUGUUGGUGGGGUGAUGGCCUACCAAGGCUUUGACGGGUAGCCGGCCUGAGAGGGUGACCGGUCACGUUGGGACUGAGAUACGGCCCAGACUCCUACGGGAGGCAGCAGUGGGGAAUAUUGCACAAUGGGCGAAAGCCUGAUGCAGCGACGCCGCGUGAGGGAUGGAGGCCUUCGGGUUGUAAACCUCUUUCGCUCAUGGUCAAGCCACAGCUUUGGGUUGUGGUGAGGGUAGUGGGUAAAGAAGCGCCGGCUAACUACGUG
rnacentral:rRNA from 1 species